GUGGGUAUAGUUCAAGUGGUAGAGUGCCUGCUCAGCAUGCACAAGGUCCUGGGUUCAAUCCCCAGUGCCCCCU
rnacentral:tRNA from 1 species